CUGCUAGGGGUGCUUUGAUUUGCUGAAAGGAGAAUUUCUCCAACCCUUUUAACCUGAUCUAGAUAAUACUAGCGUAGGGAAGCAA
rnacentral:ncRNA from 1 species